GACACUGUGGCCGAGUGGUUAAGGCGAUAGAUUCGAAUGGUGCAAGUAUCUAUUGGGAUUUUCCCGCGUAGGUUCGAGUCCUACCGGUGUCG